GAAUAAAUGAUGCUGGUGUCGGAGACCAAGAGGAGAGGACCUGACUUCAAAGGACGCAUCUCUGGCAGCACUGUGUAGAGGAAGCAUCACUCCCCACGGGGACAGCCUGGGCCGACUGGACCUCGCUCAGGCUGCCCCCCAGGCCUGAGCAGACGGAUUUUAGACAGCACUGGCCUGAGCAUCCCGAGACCCAACCGGUAUUGGAACCUAGUGUCCCCUUGUGGUUGACAGCAGGAGGCUGUCCCCUCCACAAGCCUUUCAGCUUUCCCAUCUUCAGACGAGAGGGUUGCACCUGAGACCUCACGGCAUGGGGCGUCCCUUCUCUGCAGGUACUCUGAGUUGUAUCACCCACGUGUUCUUCUCAAUGUGAUGAUAAAUUUCUGGUCAGUGGAGAGGACUGUUAUCAUUGAGCUCUUUGGGAUACAGAUGACAGAAUGACAACUCCUUCUGGGUUAAGUAAAAGGGACAUCUACUCGCUCGAAUAACUGGAAAUCCGCCUUUAGGCAUGGCUGGAUCCAGAAACUGUCACGGUAUUGUCAGGACUCAGUAAUUUAAUUCUCAUCUUUUGUCUCCCCUGCAAUGGGCUUUGUUUCCAGGGAGUCCUUCCUCUUAUAAUGGCAGGAAAUUGUAAGGAAAAAAGGGCAUGUGUCUUCAAAUAACUUAGUCUUUGCUGCCAGGUGCUGUGGUGCAUGCCUGAAAUCCCAGCAACUCAGGAGGCUGAGGCACGAGGAUUGCAGGAUGGAGGCCAGGAUCCACAACUUAGCAGGAACUUGUCUCAAAAUGAAAAAUGGCAAAUGGCUGGGGACCCUGGAUUUAAUCCCAGCACUGCUGAAACAACAAACAGAUAGAUAAGUACUUGGAAUCUUUUCAGUCAGAAAAUAAAAAUUCUACAUGAAGCCCUGUGAAGAGCCUGGGACACAGAGGCCAGGUGGCCUCUUUGGACCUGCCUGGCCUUUGCACACCAGGAGCUCGGACUCAGGUGACAAUGAAAAGUGAGUCAGUGGGAGACACUAGGGUGGGGUGUGGACUUCAGGCAACAGGAGACAAGGUCCUGCCUUCGAGGGGCAUCUGUGACUCAAGGGCCACCAGACUUGUGACAUUCAUAGUUGCUGUGCCACAAAUGAACCCUACUCUGGGUUAACCAGAGCCUCUAAUUUUUCAAGAGAACCCAGACGUCCAUAUUUUUAUGCAAAGUCCCCUGAAUAAAUAUUGACUCAAAAAAAAAUACUGUGCCAG
rnacentral:lncRNA from 1 species